UACGUAGGGGGCGAGCGUUGUCCGGAAUCAUUGGGCGUAAAGAGCGUGUAGGCGGCCAGGUAGGUCUGGUGUGAAAACUCGAGGCUUAACCUCGAGAUGUCAUCGGAAACCAUCUGGCUAGAGUCCGGAAGAGGAGAGUGGAAUUCCUGGUGUAGCGGUGAAAUGCGCAGAUAUCAGGAAGAACACCAAUGGCGAAAGCAGCUCUCUGGGACGGUACUGGACGCUGAGACGCGAAAGCGUGGGGAGCGAACAGG
rnacentral:rRNA from 1 species